GAUGAACGCUGGCGGCGUGCCUAAUACAUGCAAGUCGAGCGAACAGACGAGGAGCUUGCUCCUCUGACGUUAGCGGCGGACGGGUGAGUAACACGUGGAUAACCUACCUAUAAGACUGGGAUAACUUCGGGAAACCGGAGCUAAUACCGGAUAACAUGUUGAACCGCAUGGUUCAACAGUGAAAGACGGUCUUGCUGUCACUUAUAGAUGGAUCCGCGCCGCAUUAGCUAGUUGGUAAGGUAACGGCUUACCAAGGCAACGAUGCGUAGCCGACCUGAGAGGGUGAUCGGGCACACUGGAACCGGGACACUGUCCAGACUCCUACGGGAGGCAGCAGUAGGGAAUCUUCCGCAAUGGGCGAAAGCCUGACGGAGCAACGCCGCGUGAGUGAAGAAGGUCUUCGGAUCGUAAAACUCUGUUAUUAGGGAAGAACAAAUGUGUAAGUAACUAUGCACGUCUUGACGGUACCUAAUCAGAAAGCCACGGCUAACUACGUG
rnacentral:rRNA from 1 species